GGGAGGUAGUGACAAUAAAUAACAAUACGGGGUUCUUUUGGAUCUCGUAAUUGGAAUGAGUACAAUUUAAAUCUCUUAACGAGAACCAAUUGGAGGGCAAGUCUGGUGCCAGCAGCCGCGGUAAUUCCAGCUCCAAUAGCGUAUAUUAAAGUUGUUGCAGUUAAAAAGCUCGUAGUUGAAUUUCGGGAUUAGUAGGUUGGUCGUGCCUCUGGUAUGCACUGGCUUUACUGGUUCCUCCUUCUUGACGUACCGUGAUGUCAUUAAUUUGGUGUUGCGGGAAAUCAGGACUGUUACUUUGAAAAAUUAGAGUGUUUAAAGCAGGCUAACGCUUGAAUACAUUAGCAUGGAAUAAUGAAAUAGGACGUUAAUCCUAUUUUGUUGGUUUCUAGGAUCGACGUAAUGAUUAAUAGGGAUAGUUGGG
rnacentral:rRNA from 1 species